AGUUAAUUAAUUAAUAUGCUUACUAGGUGCUUUCCCUUAUUACUAUAAGUUAUGCAAAGUCAGCUGUGGACUAAAAUUCCAUGUAACAAUGAGGAAACAGAAUUUCUCUGCUGGCCAACAUAAUUUUUCUCAUUCUUCUUUUUUUCAUUUAUUUGUCCCUGGAAUGAGAACCUCUUCCUUUGCGGGACUGAAGUGUGCAGAGAAAAACCUAAUCAGUGAAGAUGCUCUGUAUUCUUGUUUGCCUUUCUCUGAAUAGCCUCAGGGUGUAAGUAUGAAGUCCAGGCUGGCCCCAAGCUUGCAGAGAUCCUCCUUCCUCAGCCUCCCAAGUGCUAGGAUCACAGGCGUGAGCCACCACAAGCGGCCUGCAACAAAGAUUCUUGAAGCCUGAUACUCCUAUGUCUUAAUCAUGCAGUAAACUUUGAGAACCAGCAGUGGAUGAAAAGAUCACUUCCUCUGUGGACACUACGGGUUUUGGAAUCUGCAAACGCUGGCGUGUCACUUAACCCCAAAGUUAACGCAAUCCUGUUGGACUUUCCCUGCCUUCCUUCCUGUUUCUAUCUUUUUGAUUGUCUCACCUUUUAAAACCUCGAUUUGUAUUUGUAUACAUGUGUGAUUCUCCUGUCAUUGUUCGGCUUUUUACCCAGGCACUUUUCACCUACAUCCUCUCCUUCCUUCAUUUGGCAGCCGGUUGGGCUUCUUCCUGCCUUGAAUACCACAUUCCCU
rnacentral:lncRNA from 1 species